GGAACAUGGUUGAGUGGUAGAGCGUCUGCUUGGUGGGCAAAAGGUCCCGAGUUCAAUCCUCAGCAUCACCA
rnacentral:tRNA from 1 species